rnacentral:rRNA from 1 species
GACGUAGGGCGCGAGCGUUGUCCGGAUUUAUUGGGCGUAAAGAGCUCGUAGGCGGCUCAUUGCGUCAACCGUGAAAUCCUGCUGCUCAACGGCAGGUCUGCGGUUGAUACGGGUGGGCUGGAGUUCGGUAGGGGAGGCUGGAAUUCCUGGUGUAGCGGUGAAAUGCGCAGAUAUCAGGAAGAACACCCGUGGCGAAGGCGGUUCUCUGGGACGGUACUGACGCUGAGACGCGAAAGCGUGGGGAGCGAACAGG